rnacentral:tRNA from 1 species
GCCCGAAUGGCGGAAUUGGUAGACGCGCUGGUCUUAGGAACCAGUGGAGCAAUCCAUGGAGGUUCGAGCCCUCUUUCGGGUACAA